UCCCAUCUCCUCUAAGGUGUAACUCCAACUCCCAUCUCCUCUAAGGUGUAACUCCAACUCCCAUCUCCUCUAAGGUGUAACUCCAACUCCCAUCUCCUCUAAGGUGUAACUCCAACUCCCAUCUCCUCUAAGGUGUAACUCCAACUCCCAUCUCCUCUAAGGUGUAACUCCAACUCCCAUCUCCUCUAAGGUGUAACUCCAACUCCCAUCUCCUCUAAGGUGUAACUCCAACUCCCAUCUCCUCUAAGGUGUAACUCCAACUCCCAUCUCCUCUAAGGUGUAACUCCAACUCCCAUCUCCUCUAAGGUGUAACUCCAACUCCCAUCUCCUCUAAGGUGUAACUCCAACUCCCAUCUCCUCUAAGGUGUAACUCCAACUCCCAUCUCCUCUAAGGUGUAACUCCAACUCCCAUCUCCUCUAAGGUGUAACUCCAACUCCCAUCUCCUCUAAGGUGUAACUCCAACUCCCAUCUCCUCUAAGGUGUAACUCCAACUCCCAUCUCCUCUAAGGUGUAACUCCAACUCCCAUCUCCUCUAAGGUGUAACUCCAACUCCCAUCUCCUCUAAGGUGUAACAUGGACAACGCCUAUGGUUGUUGUUUUACUACCUUGUGGAUAUAUAUAUAUAUAUACGGCUGUGUUUUAAAUUUCAG